CAAUAAGCGGAGGAAAAGAAACUAACAAGGAUUCCCCUAGUAACUGCGAGUGAAGCGGGAAAAGCUCAAAUUUAAAAUCUGGCAGUCUUUGGCUGUCCGAGUUGUAAUCUAGAGAAGUGUUAUCCGCGUUGGACCGUGUACAAGUCUCCUGGAAUGGAGCGUCAUAGAGGGUGAGAAUCCCGUCUUUGACACGGACUGCCAGGGCUUUGUGAUGCGCUCUCAAAGAGUCGAGUUGUUUGGGAAUGCAGCUCAAAAUGGGUGGUAAAUUCCAUCUAAAGCUAAAUAUUGGCGAGAGACCGAUAGCGAACAAGUACCGUGAGGGAAAGAUGAAAAGAACUUUGGAAAGAGAGUUAAACAGUACGUGAAAUUGCUGAAAGGGAAACGCUUGAAGUCAGUCACGUUGGUCAGGAAUCAACCUUGCUUCUGCUUGGUGUAUUUUCUGGUUGAUGGGUCAGCAUCAAUUUUGAUCAUUGGAAAAAGGUCAGGGGAAUGUGGCAUCCUUGGAUGUGUUAUAGCCCUUGAUUGUAUACAAUGGUUGGGAUUGAGGAACUCAGCACGCCGCAAGGCCGGGUUUUUAACCAUGUUCGUGCUUAGGAUGCUGGCAUAAUGGCUUUAAUCGACCCGUCUUGAAACACGGACCAAGGAGUCUAACAUGCCUGCGAGUGUUUGGGUGGAAAACCCGAGCGCGUAAUGAAAGUGAAAGUUGAGAUCCCUGUCAUGGGGAGCAUCGACGCCCGGACCAGACCUUUUGUGACGGUUCCGCGGUAGAGCAUGUAUGUUGGGACCCGAAAGAUGGUGAACUAUGCCUGAAUAGGGUGAAGCCAGAGGAAACUCUGGUGGAGGCUCGUAGCGAUUCUGACGUGCAAAUCGAUCGUCAAAUUUGGGUAUAGGGGCGAAAGACUAAUCGAACCAUCUAGUAGCUGGUCU
rnacentral:rRNA from 1 species